UACGAAGGGGGCUAGCGUUGCUCGGAAUUACUGGGCGUAAAGGGCGCGUAGGCGGAUGACUAAGUCGAGGGUGAAAGCCCGGGGCUCAACCUCGGAACUGCCUUUGAUACUGGUCAUCUUGAGUACGGGAGAGGUGUGUGGAACUCCGAGUGUAGAGGUGAAAUUCGUAGAUAUUCGGAAGAACACCAGUGGCGAAGGCGACUGACUGGACAUGUAUUGACGCUGAGGUGCGAAAGCGUGGGGAGCAAACAGG
rnacentral:rRNA from 1 species